CCAGCACCUGCGGUAAUUCCAGCUCCAAUAGCGUAUAUUAAAGUUGUUGCAGUUAAAAAGCUCGUAGUUGGAUUUGUGGCGGCCCUUGAGGUCCAAUUUUGGUACCAGUGAGGACUGCCAUCCUUGGGUGGAAUCUGUGUGGCAUUAGGUUGUCGUGCAGGGGAUGCCCAUCGUUUACUGUGAAAAAAUUAGAGUGUUCAAAGCAGGCUUAUGCCGUUGAAUAUAUUAGCAUGGAAUAAUAAGAUAGGACCUCGGUACUAUUUUGUUGGUUUGCGCACUGAGGUAAUGAUUAAUAGGGACAGUUGGGGGUAUUCGUAUUCCAUUGUCAGAGGUGAAAUUCUUGGAUUUUUGGAAGACGAACUACUGCGAAAGCAUUUACCAAGGAUGUUUUCAUUAAUCA
rnacentral:rRNA from 1 species